GAGAGAUAUGGCCACUGAAAUUUAGAGCUAAAGAGUCUUAAAGAAGGCCCCUUUAAAUAGGCAUAAGGUUUGAAUCCUAUUUAAAAUCAAACUACCACUUAAUACAAGUCUUACUUGCAUUAGGAAUCCUUAUUCCUUUAGUUAUUUGACCCCCUUUAGGAGAUUCUUUAGGUGCCAACUUUUGGAGCCCUUGCAUCCACAAAUACACAUGCCACAUGGUUGCCAUGGGACACCCCAAUC
rnacentral:lncRNA from 1 species